GACGAACGCUGGCGGCGUGCUUAACACAUGCAAGUCGAACGGAAAGGCCUUUUCGGAGGUACUCGAGUGGCGAACGGGUGAGUAACACGUGGGUGAUCUGCCCUGCACUCUGGGAUAAGCCUGGGAAACUGGGUCUAAUACCGGAUAGGACCGCACUUUAGUGUGUGUGGUGGAAAGUUUUUUCGGUGUAGGAUGAGCCCGCGGCCUAUAAGCUUGUUGGUGGGGUAAUGGCCUACCAAGGCGGCGACGGGUAGCCGGACUGAGAGGUUGUUCGGCCACAUUGGGACUGAGAGACGGCCCAGACGCCUACGGGAGGCAGCAGUGGGGAAUAUUGCACAAUGGGCGCAAGCCUGAUGCAGCGACGCCGCGUGGGGGAUGACGGCCUUCGGGUUGUAAACUCCGUUCGCCAGGGACGAAGCGUUUUGUGACGGUACCUGGAGAAGAAGCACCGGCUAACUACGUG
rnacentral:rRNA from 1 species